CCUACGGGUGGCAGCAGUGAGGAAUAUUGGUCAAUGGACGAGAGUCUGAACCAGCCAAGUAGCGUGAAGGAUGACUGCCCUAUGGGUUGUAAACUUCUUGUAUAUGGGAAUAAAAUGUUCCACGUGUGGGAUUUUGUAUGUACCAUAUGAAUAAGGAUCGGCUAACUCCGUGCCAGCAGCCGCGGUAAUACGGAGGAUCCGAGCGUUAUCCGGAUUUAUUGGGUUUAAAGGGAGCGUAGGUGGAUUGUUAAGUCAGUUGUGAAAGUUUGCGGCUCAACCGUAAAAUUGCAGUUGAAACUGGCAGUCUUGAGUACAGUAGAGGUGAGCGGAAUUCGUGGUGUAGCGGUGAAAUGCUUAGAUAUCACGAAGAACUCCGAUUGCGAAGGCAGUUCACUGGACUGCAACUGACACUGAGGCUCGAAAGUGUGGGUAUCAAACAGGAUUAGAUACCCGUGUAGUC
rnacentral:rRNA from 1 species